rnacentral:rRNA from 1 species
CCUACGGGAGGCAGCAGUGGGGGAUAUUGCACAAUGGGGGAAACCCUGAUGCAGCGACGCCGCGUGGGUGAAGGAGCGUUUCGGCGCGUAAAGCCCUAUCGGCAGGGAAGAAGGAGGACGGUACCUGACUAAGAAGCCCCGACUAACUACGUGCCAGCAGCCGCGGUAAUACGUAGGGGGCAAGCGUUAUCCGGAUUUACUGGGUGUAAGGGGGGCGCAGACGGCGGCGCAAGCCAGGAGUGAAAGCCCGGGGCCCAACCCCGGGACUGCUCUUGGAACUGCGCGGCUGGAGUGCAGGAGGGGCAGGGGGAAUUCCUGGUGUAGCGGUGAAAUGCGUAGAUAUCAGGAGGAACACCGGUGGCGAAGGCGGCCUGCUGGACUGCGACUGACGUUGAGGCCCGAAAGCGUGGGGAGCAAACAGGAUUAGAUACCCUAGUAGUC